GACGAACGCUGGCGGCGUGCCUAAUACAUGCAAGUAGAACGCUGAAGGAGGAGCUUGCUUCUCUGGUUGAGUGGCGAACGGGUGAGUAACGCGUAGGUAACCUGCCUGGUAGCGGGGGAUAACGAUUGGAAACGCGAGCUAAUACCGCAUAACAGUAUAUAUCGCAUGAUAUCUACUUGAAAUGUGCACUUGCAUCGCUACCAGAUGGACCUGCGUUGUAUUAGUGAGUGGGCGAGGUAACGGCCCUCCAAGGCGACAAUACAUAGCCGACUGGAGAGGGGGAUCGGCCCCCCUGGCAAGGAGACACGCCCCAGACCCCUAGGGGAGGCAGCAGUCGGGGAUCUUCGGCAAUGGCCGGCAGUCUGACCGCGCACCGCCGCGUGAGUGAAGAAGGUUGUCGGAUCGUAAAGCGCUGUUGUAAGCGAAGAACGAGUGUGAGAGUGGAAAGUUCACACUGUGACCGUAUCUUACCAGAAAGCGACGGCUAACUACGUG
rnacentral:rRNA from 1 species